rnacentral:rRNA from 1 species
AGCGAACGCUGGCGGCGUGCCUAACACAUGCAAGUCGAACGUGAAAGGGAGCAAUCCUGAGUAAAGUGGCGUACGGGUGAGUAACACGUAGGUAAUCUACCCCAGAGUCUGGAAUAACCUGCCGAAAGGCGGGCUAAUACUGGAUAGAGCGACGGAAUCCGUAAUUGGGUUUUUCGGGAAAGGGAGGACGUAAGUCCCUUCGCUCUGGGAUGAGCCUGCGUCUCAUUAGCUAGUUGGUGGGGUAAUGGCCCACCAAGGCUUUGAUGGGUAGCUGGUCUGAGAGGAUGAUCAGCCACACUGGAACUGAAACACGGUCCAGACUCCUACGGGAGGCAGCAGUGGGGAAUCUUGCGCAAUGGACGAAAGUCUGACGCAGCCACGCCGCGUGAGUGAAGAAGGCCUUCGGGUUGUAAAGCUCUGUCGGGCGGGACGAAAAUCCUGUGGGUGAAUAGCCCACGGGACUGACGGUACCGCCAAAGGAAGCACCGGCUAACUUCGUGCCAGCCGCCGCGGUAA